GCAAUUAAAUUUGACAACACAAUGUUAUUAUUAAUUGAAAAAAAAAACUUAAUGACAGUAAGUUUUUUUUUUCAUUUAUAACGAAUACUAGGAAUGAAUUGAAGAAAUAAAGCAGUCCAAAAUAACGCUACCGCGAUCGACAAAAUGAAGUCUACAAAAGAUUAUAGGAACUUAUUAUAAGGAUGAAUGAUAAAUAGUACUAAUUAACACGUCUGGUCAUUGUUUUAUUGUUACGUGUUGCUUAUAAGUUAUAACCGAUCAGCGGAGCGUAGUGGUGUAAAAAGUUGAUAGGGUGGCCGUGCAAAUCUGAUGAGCUACGUGAUGGAUGCUAUGAAUUUCUUCUUGACAACUGAAAGCACUAUAGGAUGGCCGACUUAUAAAAGACUGGGAUAAAGACCAAAAAAAGAAGAAAGCUUGUUGAUUUCGAAUGUGAUGUAUAUUUUUAUAAACAUUUGCUUGUCGAAAUUCGUUAUGAAAAUUCAUCGAGAACUCGAAGUGGUUGCCAUGGUUGUGAAAAUUACGGCGUCGUUAGAGAGUUAAAUAUUUCAUGAAUAUUAUUGAAAA